UUACAUUUACAAGGAGGGCCAUAACGAGAAAAUUAUUACGGGUGGUCCCAUUUCCAUUUGUUUGUUGGCAGUUGCAGCAAUUAUUUAUAGAGCACCGAUUUUACAGAUGUGAAAUUGAUUGUUUGGAACUGGCAGGCAGCAAGGUGGGAUGAGAUUAUAUUUAGUUGCAGGUCAUGGUGGUUAAAGUAAAUCACAAGAUAAGUUACCUG
rnacentral:lncRNA from 1 species